CCUUGCAGUGCCAUGACUACACAAUUGAAGAGCUCAUCACCAAGAGCUUCAAUAACGUCAUCUAGCAAUCAGAUUGGCUAGAUGAAUAUGGAGAAAGGAACUGAGGGCAACAAUACCAAAUCACAAGAAAAGGUGGUGGCAUUGAUGAAUAACUACCAAAUUUGAAAGCCAUUGAAGACUCAUCAAGUUUAAAUGUCGAGGUGCUUCAAUUCUGGGGGUAGUAGCUCGAGAUGAAAUGUAGUCUUAUGUUAAAGCUUGGACAAAGAAAUUUAAUUUGAAUGAUCCUUUAAUGGCAAAAGCAGUGUUCAUUAAAGGAUCACUGUAAUCAAAGGGUUGGAGCAUAUGGUUUAUUGUGUAGGGUUUGUGGCAUU